ACACACGGCGGGUGCUAACGUCCGUCGUGAAGAGGGAAACAACCCAGACCGCCAGCUAAGGUCCCAAAGUCAUGGUUAAGUGGGAAACGAUGUGGGAAGGCCCAGACAGCCAGGAUGUUGGCUUAGAAGCAGCCAUCAUUUAAAGAAAGCGUAAUAGCUCACUGGUCGAGUCGGCCUGCGCGGAAGAUGUAACGGGGCUAAACCAUGCACCGAAGCUGCGGCAGCGACGCUUAUGCGUUGUUGGGUAGGGGAGCGUUCUGUAAGCCUGCGAAGGUGUGCUGUGAGGCAUGCUGGAGGUAUCAGAAGUGCGAAUGCUGACAUAAGUAACGAUAAAGCGGGUGAAAAGCCCGCUCGCCGGAAGACCAAGGGUUCCUGUCCAACGUUAAUCGGGGCAGGGUGAGUCGACCCCUAAGGCGAGGCCGAAAGGCGUAGUCGAUGGGAAACAGGUUAAUAUUCCUGUACUUGGUGUUACUGCGAAGGGGGGACGGAGAAGGCUAUGUUGGCCGGGCGACGGUUGUCCCGGUUUAAGCGUGUAGGCUGGUUUUCCAGGCAAAUCCGGAAAAUCAAGGCUGAGGCGUGAUGACGAGGCACUACGGUGCUGAAGCAACAAAUGCCCUGCUUCCAGGAAAAGCCUCUAAGCAUCAGGUAACAUCAAAUCGUACCCCAAACCGACACAGGUGGUCAGGUAGAGAAUACCAAGGCGCUUGAGAGAACUCGGGUGAAGGAACUAGGCAAAAUGGUGCCGUAACU
rnacentral:rRNA from 1 species